AUUGAACGCUGGCGGCAUGCCUUACACAUGCAAGUCGAACGGCAGCACGGGUGCUUGCACCUGGUGGCGAGUGGCGAACGGGUGAGUAAUACAUCGGAACAUGUCCUGUAGUGGGGGAUAGCCCGGCGAAAGCCGGAUUAAUACCGCAUACGAUCUACGGAUGAAAGCGGGGGACCUUCGGGCCUCGCGCUAUAGGGUUGGCCGAUGGCUGAUUAGCUAGUUGGUGGGGUAAAGGCCUACCAAGGCGACGAUCAGUAGCUGGCCUGAGAGGACGACCAGCCACACUGGGACUGAGACACGGCCCAGACUCCUACGGGAGGCAGCAGUGGGGAAUUUUGGACAAUGGGCGAAAGCCUGAUCCAGCAAUGCCGCGUGUGUGAAGAAGGCCUUCGGGUUGUAAAGCACUUUUGUCCGGAAAGAAAUCCUUGGCCCUAAUACGGUCGGGGGAUGGCGGUACCGGAAGAAUAAGCACCGGCUAACUACGUG
rnacentral:rRNA from 1 species